UACAGAGGGUGCAAGCGUUAAUCGGAAUUACUGGGCGUAAAGCGCACGUAGGUUGAAAAUUAAGUUAGAUGUGAAAGCCCCGGGCUCAACCUGGGAAAGGCAUAUAAUACUGGUUAUCUAGAGUACAGUAGAGGGAAGUGGAAUUUCCGGUGUAGCGGUGAAAUGCGUAGAUAUCGGAAGGAACAUCAGUGGCGAAGGCGGCUUCCUGGACUGAUACUGACACUGAGGUGCGAAAGCGUGGGUAGCGAACAGG
rnacentral:rRNA from 1 species